rnacentral:rRNA from 1 species
ACUCGAGUGGCGAACGGGUGAGUAACACGUGGGUGAUCUGCCUUGCACUCUGGGAUAAGCUUGGGAAACUGGGUCUAAUACCGGAUAGGAACCGUCUUUAGUGUGGUGGUUGGAAAGUUUUUCGGUGCAAGAUGAGCUCGCGGCCUAUCAGCUUGUUGGUGGGGUGAUGGACUACCAAGGCGUCGACGGGUAGCCGGCCUGAGAGGGUGUACGGCCACAUUGGGACUGAGAUACGGCCCAG